UACGAGGGGGGCAAAUGUUGUUCGGAAUCACUGGGCGUAAAGGGAGCGUAGGCGGGUUUUUAAGUCAGGUGUUUAAUCCCGGGGCCCAACCCGGACCGGCACUUGAAACUGGGAAUCUUGAAUAGUGGUGAGGUCAGUGGAAUUGGGGGUGUAGCGGUGGAAUGCGUAGAGAUCCCCAAGAACACCAGUUGCGAAGGCGGCUGACUGGACACAUAUUGACGCUGAGGCUCGAAAGCAUGGGGGAGC
rnacentral:rRNA from 1 species